GAUCUUGAAGAGAAUCCCGGAGCCGACCAUUAAAGAUCUUUUGCACUUACUCCCUUAUUGUGAUUUGGGGCCGAAUUGGAAAGAGUUAUGGAGAAGCCGACUUGAGGCACUUUUGAUCAGAGUUUUGAAUGUAUUUGACUAGAUAUCUUUUGGAAGUUGUAUAUUUUGGGAAAGUGGAUGUACUUUGAAACUUAUGAGGUAAGAUUGAAUAUUCAUGUAUGGAAAUGACUUCUUGUCUUUAU